rnacentral:lncRNA from 1 species
AGGUGGGCGGGGCUUUCCCAAACGCGGAAGCUCUCUUAACUUGGGUUAGCUAUGGCCCCUUCGGGCGCGGUCAGCUCUGUUUGUGCUGCGCCAGGGUCAAAGUUCUUGGCUCUCUUUCCCCACGCCUUGUCUUGUCUUGUCGGACCACCGUGGAUAAGAUCGUGGGGCCAGUCGGAUCUUUCUCUGGACCUUUCACAGCUCCUGGCCAUCCUUAAGGGAUGCUUUCCUCCUGGGGCUUGUAAAUUAUUUUCCAGCUCUCAGGAAGGGGAAUGCGUUUUCUUGCUUUGCGUUCAGUGACCCUACGUUUACUGCUGGAGAGAGGGGGAAAAAAUCUGUGGACCCAGCUAAAUGCUUACUUACCAGGGUCUGGGCACAUUUUAAAAUGAGUGCGAUGUGAAUACCAGUACUCUGUAGGCAGAAGCUGGAAGAUCGCCUCAAGUUUGAACCCAGCCUGGGGUAUCUAGCUAGAUCUUUUCUCAGAAGCUAAGAAAGAAAGAAAGGAAGAAAGAAGAAAGAAAGAAAGAAAGAAAGAAAGAAAGAAAGAAAGAAAGGAAGGAAAAAGAGGAAAGAAAGAAAGAAAGAAAGAAAGGAAGGACGAAAAGAAAAGAGAGGAAAGAAAGAAAGAAAAGUGAAAAAA